GACGGAGGGUGCUAGCGUUGUUCGGAAUUACUGGGCGUAAAGGGCGCGUAGGCGGCCUGGUCAGUCGGGUGUGAAAGCCCGGGGCUCAACCCGGAACGGCACCCGAGACGGCCAGGCUGGAGACCGGGAGAGGAGGGUGGAAUAGCCAGUGUAGAGGUGAAAUUCGUAGAUAUUGGCUGGAACACCGGUGGCGAAAGCGGCUCUCUGGCCCGGUUCUGACGCUGAGGCGCGAAAGCGUGGGGAGCAAACAGG
rnacentral:rRNA from 1 species